rnacentral:rRNA from 1 species
CCUACGGGUGGCAGCAGUGAGGAAUAUUGGUCAAUGGCCGGAAGGCUGAACCAGCCAUGCCGCGUGAAGGUCAGUGCCCUAUGGGCGUUAAACUUCUUUUGUGCGGGAGCAAUAAUGGUCACGUGUGGCCAGACGAGAGUACCGUACGAAUAAGCAUCGGCUAACUCCGUGCCAGCAGCCGCGGUAAUACGGGGGAUGCAAGCGUUAUCCGGAUUUAUUGGGUUUAAAGGGUGCGUAGGCUGGGAGUUAAGUCAGCGGUGCAAUGCCCCCGCUCAACGGGGUGAAGUGCCAUUGAUACUGCCUGGCUGGAAUGCGGAUGCCGUGGGAGGAAUGUGUGGUGUAGCGGUGAAAUGCAUAGAUAUCACACAGAACACCGAUUGCGAAGGCAUCUCACGAAUCCGCGAUUGACGCUGAUGCACGAAAGCGUGGGUAUCAAACAGGAUUAGAUACCCUAGUAGUC